rnacentral:rRNA from 1 species
UUCUACAAACCCUGAACACACUCGAUCUCGUCUGAUCUUGGAAGCUAAGCAGAGUCAGGCCUGGUUAGUACUUGGAUGGGAGACCACCUGGGAAGACCAGGUGCUGUAGGCG